CGGUGUUUAACUGGCGUGAUGUGGGACGUCCUACCGGUGGGCUUAGCCUCGCGAGGGGCGGCCCAACUAAUAUCCCGUCGCGGUGCUCUUUACUGAGUGUCGAGUCGGGCCGGUACGUUUACUUUGAACAAAUUAGAGUGCUUAAAGCAGGCUAUCCUCGCCUGAAUACUGCGUGCAUGGAAUAAUGGAAUAGGACCUCGGUUCUAUUUUGUUGGUUUUCGGAACCCCGAGGUAAUGAUUAAUAGGGACAGAUGGGGGCAUUCGUAUUGCGACGUUAGAGGUGAAAUUCUUGGAUCGUCGCAAGACGGACAGAAGCGAAAGCAUUUGCCAAAAAUGUUUUCAUUAAUCAAGAACGAAAGUUAGAGGUUCGAAGGCGAUCAGAUACCGCCCUAGUUCUAACCAUAAACGAUGCCAGCUAGCGAUCCGCCGAAGUUCCUCCGAUGACUCGGCGGGCAGCUUCCGGGAAACCAAAGCUUUUGGGUUCCGGGGGAAGUAUGGUUGCAAAGCUGAAACUUAAAGGAAUUGACGGAAGGGCACCACCAGGAGUGGAGCGCGCGGCUUAAUUUGACUCAACACGGGAAACCUCACCAGGCCCAGACACCGGAAGGAUUGACAGAUUGAUAGCUCUUUCUUGAUUCGGUGGGUGGUGGUGCAUGGCCGUUCUUAGUUGGUGGAGCGAUUUGUCUGGUUAAUUCUGAUAACGAACGAGACUCUAGCCUGCUAAAUAGGCGUACCUUAUGGUAUCGCGAAGGCCCCCGGCUUCGGCCGGUGGGUUUUUACUACCAACGUACAAACAAAUCUUUUUAGGGGGACAGGCGG
rnacentral:rRNA from 1 species